UACGUAGGGUGCAAGCGUUAAUCGGAAUUACUGGGCGUAAAGCGUGCGCAGGCGGUUCUAUAAGACAGAUGUGAAAUCCCCGGGCUCAACCUGGGAACUGCAUUUGUGACUGUAGAGCUGGAGUACGGCAGAGGGGGAUGGAAUUCCGCGUGUAGCAGUGAAAUGCGUAGAUAUGCGGAGGAACACCGAUGGCGAGGGCAAUCCCCUGGGCCUGUACUGACGCUCAUGCACGAAAGCGUGGGGAGCAAACAGG
rnacentral:rRNA from 1 species